rnacentral:rRNA from 1 species
UGGGGAAUCUUCCGCAAUGGACGAAAGUCUGACGGAGCAACGCCGCGUGAGUGAUGACGGCCUUCGGGUUGUAAAGCUCUGUUAAUCGGGACGAAAGGCCUUCUUGCGAAUAGUUAGAAGGAUUGACGGUACCGGAAUAGAAAGCCACGGCUAACUACGUGCCAGCAGCCGCGGUAAUACGUAGGUGGCAAGCGUUGUCCGGAAUUAUUGGGCGUAAAGCGCGCGCAGGCGGAUUGGUCAGUCUGUCUUAAAAGUUCGGGGCUUAACCCCGUGAUGGGAUGGAAACUGCCAAUCUAGAGUAUCGGAGAGGAAAGUGGAAUUCCUAGUGUAGCGGUGAAAUGCGUAGAUAUUAGGAAGAACACCAGUGACGAAGGCGACUUUCUGGACGAAAACUGACGCUGAGGCGCGAAAGCCAGGGGAGCGAACGGGAUUAGAUACCCCGGUAGUCCUGGCCGUAAACGAUGGGUACUAGGUGUAGGAGGUAUCGACCCCUUCUGUGCCGGAGUUAACGCAAUAAGUACCCCGCCUGGGGAGUACGACCGCAAGGUUG